GUCAUAGUAUUUAGCUGUAUCACCAGCAUUUAGAUUUUGUGUCACAUUUCAUGGGAUGCCUCGAUUGUGUGCUCUCUCCAUUUUUAAGAUUUGGAGUGUUUCUUUCUUUCUUGUCCUACCCGUAAUGUCACUUUUAUCGUUAGCAAGUUUUUCUUCCUAAUCACUGUUUAUUUUACCAUCUUAUUAUUGACUGCUUUUUGGUUUCUUGUUACUUGAUUUUCCCAAAUAAGAAAAUCCUCUUUUUCUUGAUGCUUUGGCUUGUUGCGUGUUAUUUGAUCAUUAUGGAAUAGGUGACUAGCCAUACAGUUCUUUGCACUUAAUAAAUUUCCCUUCUCAUCAGUUCACUGGUUCAACAUUUACUAAAAUAUGAUAGUUGGGACUUCUGGGUAGGCUUAGCAUCAUAUGUUUUCCGUUGACACUUUAAGAACUCAAGAAUCAGAUUGGACUGCUUUUAAACUUCUAGUAUUUUCAUAUUUGACUAAUUGACUGGUUAAACUGGUUUCUCUUCACAACUAAUCAAGUAUGCCUUCUUUGUAGUUUCCGUGUGUGAGAGAAGUUGGGACAAAAUUAGGUAGUGCAGUGUCGUCAUGUUCAAAGGAUCUAAAGGGUGUUUUGUAGUUGUUGUUGGGAUCUUUUUGCUGCUUGUUAGCUGGUCGGGGUUGUCAGUAACUUAGCUGGUUAAACUAAACUGACGCCUAUAUAUUUUUUCUCAUAAUUAAUAAAGCCAGAGAUUCAUUUGUUCUAUUGGCUGUGGGAUGUAAUGGACUAAAUCAAAAUGGCUCUUAAAACCUCUUUGCUUCCUUUCCAUGAAGUAGAAGAUGGUCAUCCCGUUGUCGUCUUGUUAUCGCUUUUGGGUCAAUUGGAAACAACCUCUUUGCAAUUGCAAGGGUAAGGUUGCGUACACCCGACCCCCCCUUACCCCGCUUCUUGCGGAAGCCUCUUUGAGGCAAUGGGGUAAUGAUAAUGAUGAUAAUGAUGAAUUAAUGGAUUUAGUCAAUUGGCUUUGGACAGAAUUUGUUGUAAUUGGGAACUAAAGAUUGUAGGCAGUUUUGGAUUAUUGUUAUGAAGCUGAAUGUUAUAUGCAGUGUCCUCCAUCACCUCAGAAUCUUGUUCUCUUUCGGUAGUACUUUGUUGACAGCUAUCUAGGUUUGCUGUGAAAUUUUGAUAAGGAGAAAAAAGUAAACAAGAAUAUAUGCGAUAGUUUAGGGAGCGCUAGUGAAAGAGAAAGCGAAAGAGGAUGAAAAAACAACUAGAGAGUGUGAAGAACGAAUGAAAAAACUUAAGUCACGACUUGAUUAGUUGUUGAUUAGCUACUAGUGAUCUUUGUGUGUUUCAAUUUAGCAUUGAUAUGUUCUCCAGAAAUGAGAAACACAUGAGAGUCGAUGUGACGGAGAGGGAGGAGAGCAGGAGACAGAGAGCCAGAAGGAAGUUUUGUGGAGAUAUAGAGAGAGUGAUAGUGGAGAGAAAAUCAAUGGAAAGAGGGGUUGGUGGGGUGGGAAGAGGGUGAUAGUGGAGAGUUGAGAGGAAACAAAGAAAUGCUAAGAUUUGGGCUUUAGAGUAUAAACUUGAUUUUGUUCUUUGAUUUAGGAACUUGCACCUGGAUAAGUCACCCAUUAAAAAAAAUGUUGAAAACCUUUAUUCCCCCUUAUAUACACCAUGUAGAAAAAUUUAAAAAUUCUUCUCGGGGAAACUAAAUCAGGCGUAAAAUACACUUGGCUAGCCAGAAGCAAAUAACGUUUACUAGGUUAAGAUUCAUUCAUAGUCUGGAGAGUGGAGAUUACUCUGAACUUAUUAGUUGUUUGAGGAUUUUCUAUAGUAACUACAUCAAAUUGGUAGAAACAAAUUUCGUUCAUGGAACAGUUUGAUGAUAGAUAUGUUGUUCUAUGGAUGUCUGAUAGCUUGAAGUUUUUUUACUUUGACCACAUGGUAGCUAUGCUAACUAGUUUGAUGUUAAACCUUAUUCGUUCAAUAUAGAUUUGAUUGGAUAAGGUUAGUGAUUGUGCUUGUCGAUGGGCCGUUUUUGGAUAUACUUUAUAUCGAAAAGACACUCAUUUUUAGUUGUAUAAUAUCAGACACAAACUUUGGGUGUUUCUCUUGUGGCUGAUUAGUUGGUUGAUGAUGUUUGAUGGAGUGGUCAAAGGGGUAUUAUUAUAGAGUAGGACUUUGAGUGAACCUAUGAUUGAGUGAUUUUGUGUGUCCUAAGUAAGGUAAUGGAAUGUAGAGGCACCGGGAAGAAUGGAGCAAAUGGAUUUAGGAGUCUUUGAUGUCUUCUUGUUCUUAAUCAUAGUGGAUGAGCAGUCUGUGAGGCAUUUGGGGCCACCUAUGUUACUUCGACACUUUGGUUGAGAGAGGUGUCGGUUGUCGGAUCCUCGGACACUUUGACACGACAUGACACCCAAAUAUAUAGUGGCCUUGUAUGAAACUUAUUACAUUUAGAGCGGGGAUCCUCCGAUCCCUUGUCGGACGCGACACCCCAAUAAGAGUCUGGGUAACAUAAGGGGCCACCCGGACUUCAGGAAGGGUUAUCGUUUUCUUCCUCUUGUACAUGUUAUCGUCAUCUGUUGAUCCUCUUGCUUUUUCCAAGGGGAAGUUGUGCUGAGCAUUAAAGGGCUCGGAGAGGUUCUUUCUCUCGUUUGCAAUUUGUUGAACUAUUAUUCUUUUCCUCCUUGAAUAUCUUUAGAUAUUAGAAUGUCCUUACUGUUCUAAGGUGUUUGAGAUUGUCUUUGGGCUUUAGGUUUUUUUAAGUAAGUCACUGUUUUUAGGGGUUAAUGUGGGAUAAUCCUUGGUAAUUUCUGUGUUCUUGAUCUGUGUUAUGUUUAGAGUUUGGCUCUGACUUAUCUUUGUCUCCUUGUAGGAAUGAGUCCCUGGAAAACCUCUUUCUGGGUACCGUUAUGGUGGAGGAAGGCAUAUUUUCCUUUGGGAGGACUGAGGAGGGUGUAGCAAAUUUUAUUGUUUGUCAAGCAUCUUUCUAGGCCUCUCCGUUGUUUUAUUAUAGGAUCCCUCUGGGUGUUGCUAAGAGUUUUGAAAGGGUUAUGAAUGACUUGUGAGAAACUUUCUUUUUUCUAGUAUAGGGGGAGAAUUAGAGAGAUCACCCCAUGGGGUGCAGGCGGGAUAAGGUUUUUGGUCUAAAGAGAUCGGUGGGCAGGGUCAAAUACAGGCUUGAUAUUCCAUGAAAGAGAUCGGUGGGCAUGUUGUUCAUUUCUUUGUUGGAUGUAAAGUUGGCAUUAGAUGACAAUGAAUUUAGACUGUUGGAGAAAUGCAACGAACGGCCUUUUAUGUUUCCUUUCCUUGUCCUAUCAUCUCUGAUCUCUUUACCUUACUAAUCUUUUGAUUUUUGUUUCUUGUUUAAAGAGGGUGUGUUCACUUCGUGGAAUUUUGAUAUUAGUUUAGAUUGGAAGUAGGGUGAAACACUUGUUGGAAAGCGUAACAGGGUGCUUCCUUCUUUAGUAUAUUGGGAUCAGAGAAGUUGGUUGUAGGAUUUUUUAUGCUUACCUGUUGUGUAUUUCUCAGUAUUUUAAUUAUUCCUUUUCCUUUCCUUUUCCUGCUAUCCAAUUACACAUGGAAAUCCAAGGUCCCUAAGAAAAUCAAGGCUAAAACAUGCUCGGAUAGGUUUCUGCUAAACUAAAGACCUGAUUGUUUGCAAUCAUGAGGACCAGAUGAUUUUUUGCAGACUCUCAUUGAGCAUUUGCAGGUUGAACAUGUUACUUCUCAGGAGAAUAACGGAAAUGUACUUCCAUGCCUUGUCACGAAAGGGGAGUCGGCGUGCCGUAAAGUGAUGAUUGAAGGAAGUAUAGAAAAGUUCCCUUCUGUGGUAGUCUGAAGGUGUAACUUAGGCAAUGAAAAAAGAGCCUGAUACUUCAACUAGAGGAGCGACCAGUUGGUUCACCAAACUCUGACCCAGUGCCGCACGUUCUCCAGGUCCGGAAGGAUCCAGUUCCCAACUACCGACUCCUCCCUGAUUUGUGUUAUCAUCACCGAGCCAGGAAUAGCCGCUGGACACCCUCCCCUUGUUAAUAAGUAAAUCAAUGCCUGCUUAAAGAGUCGAUCUUCCUGCAUUUCGAGUAUAUCGAGCGACGGAAUUGCUAAGUCCAGCGACGGGCCAUGGUCGUGCUAGACGAUGGGCAACAACAAGCCAUGAGCAACCCCAUAGCACAAAAGCAUCGCCCACACCAACUAGCAGCAACCAUAGCAGCUUUGCAGACCGAUGCGCCCGCGGUGGAUUGUUGCGCCCACACAAGAAAUCGGUGCACCCACACCGGAGACCGUUGCGCCUGCAUUGUCACCAUUCUUGCACCUGAAAACAUUCUGCCAUGGAGUCAUAAUUUGGAAAUGUCGUGUUAUGCGCCCGCGCCAGCCACCGGCUUCCCUUUUUAGUCGAGCAGCAGCAGCGAAUAGAAUAGCAGCAUCAGAGAGAGAUUAGAGCAGCAUUGAAUCGAUUUUGUCGUUGAUGUUUUCAAUUUUAGGAAUUACAUUCUCAAAUUUCAGAUUAUUUUCUCUUUUUGUCUAGUUUAUUUUGUUCUUAAGUUUCAGAUUAACGUUCUUCAUUUUCAGGCUUCCAAUUCAAUAUUAAUGGUAUAAUUUCUCUAUUUUAUUCUUUA